AACGCACAUUGCGCCCCCUGGUAUUCCGGGGGGCAUGCCUAUUCGAGCGUCAUUAUCACCCCUCAAGCCUAGCUUGGUGUUGGGACCUGCUGUUAAGGCAGUCCCUAAAAUCAGUGGCAGUGCUGUCAGGCUCUAAGCGUAGUAAAAUAAAUCGCGAUAGGGUCCUGGUGGAUACUCGUCAGAACCCCCCCAUUUUUUAAUGAUUGACCUCGGAUUAGGUAGGGAUACCCGCUGAACUUAA
rnacentral:misc_RNA from 1 species